UGGGGAAUCUUGCGCAAUGGGCGAAAGCCUGACGCAGCGACGCCGCGUGAGUGAUGAAGGCCUUCGGGUUGUAAAGCUCUGUGGGGAGAGACGAAUAAGCUUUGGCUAAUAUCCAGGGUGAUGACGGUAUCUCCUUAGCAAGCACCGGCUAACUCUGUGCCAGCAGCCGCGGUAAGACAGAGGGUGCAAACGUUGUUCGGAAUUACCGGGCGUAAAGCGCAUGUAGGCGGCCUAGCAGGUCGGAUGUGAAAGCCCUCGGCUCAACCGAGGAAGUGCAUUCGAAACCGCAAGGCUUGAGUCCCGGAGAGAGUAGUGGAAUUCUCGGUGUAGAGGUAAAAUUCGUAGAUAUCGGGAGGAACACCGGUGGCGAGAGCGGCUACCUGGGCCUGUACUGACGCUCAUGCACGAAAGCGUGGGGAGCAAACA
rnacentral:rRNA from 1 species